ensembl:snRNA U6 U6 spliceosomal RNA
GUGUUCACUUCGGCAGCACAUAUACUAAAAUUGGAACAAUACAGAGAAGAUUAGCGUGGCCCCUGCAGAAGGAUGACAUGCAAAUUUGUGAAGCAUCCCAUAUUUUU